CUCACAUCACCAACGCCAGGGAAUUACGAGCCUAGCUUAAAACCCAAAGGACUUGACGGUGUCCCACCCAACUAGAGGAGCCUGUUCUAUAAUCGAUAACCCCCGAUUUACCUAACCCUAUUUUGCCAUUCAGCCUGUAUACCUCCGUCGUAAGCUUACCAUAUGAAUGCCCACAGUAAGUCUAAUGAUCUUAACAUCAAUACGUCAGGUCAAGGUGCAGCUUAUAGUAGGGAAAGAAAUGGGCUACAAUUUCUAAAUUAGAACAUACGAAAUGCUUCAUGAAACACAGCCACGAAGGCGGAUUUAGUAGUAAAAGGG
rnacentral:rRNA from 1 species